rnacentral:tRNA from 1 species
AUGCCCUUAGUAUAAUAAAUAUAUUAGGUUUAGGACCUGAAGAUUGUAGAGCAUU